AUUAUUUGUGGCGGUACCCACAAGCAGUGAUUUUGCCAUUAUCCAAAAAAAUAAAGCGAGGAAAGAAAAAGCACAUUAAGGUCUACAAAACAAGCAAGAAAAGCAAAUGCGGCCAACAAAGCAACUUCCCCAGAGCUCCCACUAGCUACAAACCACCCCCCUCCCACCACGUCAUGUCAUCAGCAUCAUGGACCAGGCAGAGAGAACUGAGGAUGGCGGGCAUCCUGCCUUGGGGGGUGCAGGUCCCCGGUCAGGGGAGGCUGCGAGGACCAAGCAGGGAAGCUCCCACCUCCACAUCUCACGCGGGCACCAGGUGCUGCUCGGCGGCAUUUUGUUUCCCUUCAUUUUCAUUCAGCUGAACGGAUUUCAACCUUCUAAACACCCUCUGACUUUUUAAUUAUUUUAAGGUGGGCGUGAGGAAGGAUCCAAUCCCAGGCCCUCGUGGCUCCAGAGAAAGUCUCCAGCCAGGCAGCUCAGACCUGCCCGGGGCUCAGGACUCAUCUGGGGAGCUUGUUAGGAUGCAGAUUCUGAUGCCAAGAUCUGAAGUGGGGUCUGAGCCUCUGCAGUUCUGAUAGCUGUGACACUGAGACCACCACCGGGCCCAGGGUCACCUUCCGGGCCUCUGCCCCGGUUUGCCUGUCCUUCCAGAUUGUCCUGACUUGACCUCACUAUGAGACAGGAAGGAAGGAAACAGGGCAUAAUCAUUAAAAGAACAACAGAGCUGUUGAGGAUGGGCCAAAAACUGGUUAGGACCUACUCCGCCCAAGAUGGCAGGACAUUUGACGUCCAGGGGACAUGGAGCCUCAGUCCAGGCUCACUGCAAUUCAUUAGCAGCUAAAUGACAAGCCCACAGGUGCCAGGUCAGUGCUGAGGCCGAUCAUAAAAGGCCAAAAAGUGAGUGGUGGUCCAAUUCCUGGAAAUCCCCGCCCCUUCCUUAAAAUAAUUGGAAUAAUCCCUCCACUUAUUAGCCUAUGCAUUCCCCAGCCCAUAAAACCUCGCCAGGUUUCAGAGGACUCUCACCUUCUGAGAUGAACCGCAUUCUGCCUAUAGAAUGUGUCUCCAAAUAAACCUGCUUUUGCUUCCUGCAGCUCGCGUUCCCACCAUGGCACAAUGGGAUCCGCAGCGACUCUGCAGCACCAGGAUGCAGGUUCAAUCCCCAGCCCGGCACAGCAGGUUAAUGGAUCUGACGUUGCCACAACUGUGGGCAGUGUAGGUCGCAACUGCAGCUGGGACCUGAUCCCUGGCCUAGGAACUCCAUAUGCCAUGGGGCGUCCAAAAAAAAGAAGGAAAAAACAAAAAAAAAACAAAGAGGAGGGCUGGAAAAAAGUCACCGAGCUUCCUGACACCAGGUCUGGAACUUCACCCCACCUCCAGGCCACCCCUGAGUCUCCCCACAAGGUACCCACCAGAUUCUCGGCCCCACCUGGGCACCCUCAGGACAGAAUGGGGUAUUUAGAGAGCAAUGCAAAUGCAGGAUCAGAAGAGAACACUGUUCCCACUGAGGGCCCCUCCUGGGACCAUCGUGGGGACACGUGCUGUGGGGAGCAGCCCCACCUGGCAAUACCAACCAGAGGCCGGGCCUGCCCGCUCUGACCCAGGCAUCUGGGAUACUGGGAAUCUCCGCCAAGGGGCACACGCUCCAUCUCUAGGGCCCAGCUCCAGGCCUGCCCCAGAGUCAGAAGGACCAGCACUCACGCUUCACUCUAAUAACACAACCUGCUCACACUUCCUCCUACAAAUUUCUCUCCAGUGCCCCCCACACCCAGAAGGCUGCAGGACAAUUCUGGGAAGACCUGGCCACAAGGAGAGGGACCCCCACACUCUCCCUUCCUGGUCCUUCCUGCUUAUCCGCCAAGGCCGCCAAGCAGGGUAUGAACGUCCCUCUGUUUCUCAUGCCCCACCCCCUUGUCCCAAGAAGACAAAAGAAGGGAACCAUCCUCCCUCCCGUGCGCCAGGGACUGGGCCAUUAUUACGCGGCCUCUCACUUUAUUCUCCCAAGAACCCUGCAUGGUUGACACCAUAUCUCCAUCUCACAGGCCUUCGGUAGCGUCAGCAAAUCACAGCACAGCCGUCACGGCAACGCAGUGCAGGGGCGGUCAGGGUGUGGGAUCUGGAGGCGCUCCAGGCGUUUGGACACUGAUGGCCAUUUCUGGCCGCAUGGAUCUGGGCCUCAGUAAGGCUCACCGGAUGGGGUUUAGAAUGAAUGAAGCCUCUCUUGGAGGUCCCGUCGUGAUGCAGUGGUUAACGAAUCCGACUAGGAACCAUGAGGUUGCGGGUUCGAUCCCUGGCCUUGCUCAGUGGGUUAAGGAUCCGGCGUUGCCAUGAGCUGUGGUGUAGGUCGCAGACGUGGCUUGGAUCGUGCGUUGCUGUGGCUGUGGUGUAGGCCGGUGGCUACAGCUCCAAUUCGACCCCUAGCCUGGGAACCUCCAUAUGCAGCGGGAGAGGCCCAAGAAACAGCAAAAAAAAAAAAAAGAAUGAAUGAAACCUCUCUCAUGGAGUUGCUGUGAGGACUAAAUGGGACCUCACGGACCUAGGCGAGCCAGCCCGUGGCAAAUGCUUACGACCUAUUCCUUGCCAUCCCUAGAAGUCAACAAGGAGGGCAGGGCUAGAACCCACACCUGGACACAAGGGGCUAGGUUCCAACAGCCAGUUUCAGGCAGGCCCACCACUUUAAAGAGAUCGAACCCAUUCUCGUUGAAUGGGGGGGACAGGGGAUCUUAAGGGAAACACGCUCAGCUCUUGAGGACCAGAUCACAUGGAGCACGAGGAGCCUGGAACUGUGAGGCCCAGGGAUCCUCCUCUGACAAUGGAAGCAGCCCCAGCGAUCCCUCUGAGAGCACAGGAAGGCCACGGCUCACGUCCCCAAACACAUAUUUGAAGACUCUUUCCUUUUCAGGAGGAAGGCUGACAAACCCCUCUCCACCAUAGACCGGAACCCAUGACCUCAGAGCCAGGACACAUGGGCACCGAACUCCAAAGGAGAGAAGGAGCAGAGCGCCAGGUGUGCCAGCGCCUGAGCCAGAGGAGAAAGAAUCUCACAAGUAGGGGCAGAAGCUGGGCUGGUCAGGUGCACAUGAAACACAAGAAGACGGAAAUGGCUUCUACUUUUCGAAGUGUGCAUGUAAGAUGAAACGCUUGGAAAACUAGUUGGCACUGAAGCUGGUCCUGAAUCAAUCCGUGAGACAAUGACCUAAAUAGGCCGACCCCCUGGAGGCUGCCCCAAAGCCAAGUCAGGCUCCUCCAACACGCUGUGCCUGCCUGCCGUUCCCAGGAGCGCUGCGUGAUGGACAGUUCUAAGGAAGACCCUAUAAUCUGCAUUUAUGCCAUUUGUCUCUUUGAUACAUAAAAUACAGAUAUUUGCAUCAUUUAUGUGAACAUGCAUGAUUUUCUUCUGAAAGCCACAAAGAGAAAGAGAGUCUGAUCCAUGGCCCCCUCCCCACGCCCCAUCAUCCCCCUUCUUCAGCAGCCUGAAGACUUAAGCCCAGCACCUCUGACAAGCCAAAUUGAUCUGGAAAGGCGCUUCGGAGGCCCGUCGCAUGAACAGAAAGAAGAAAGGACUGUCCUUGCAAAGGAGACACAGAAGACAAAGUGAGGUGUGGGCAAGUCUCCUUCUCCACUCGGUGGCCUCCUGUAGGUGACAGCGGGAAGGUCCAGGGACAGCAGGAAGCCCCAAGGAGCUGCCCAGGCCACAUGACCUGACUGCACUAGAGCUCAACUAUAUGCCCUGAAACCGCAGCCUUGAACAAAAAGCCAAACAGACCAAAGUGAGGAACAGAAGCUUCUGCACCAGCAGGCGGGCGAGGCUGGCAGGCCAAGGUACGCCCCUGGGCAUCCAGGCCAGAUCCUCUGGCAGGGGCUGGUUCCGAGCCAAGCAGCCUCAGGGGCCCCGAGCAGCUGGGAUCAAGGACCUUCAGAGGCCUGAACCACUGGUCUUGAGGCCCUUGAGGACUCCUGAGCAGAAACCUGGGCGCAGAUUGGCCGCGCCAUCCCACACUUCACUCAUGCCCCAUAGGCGCAUCCUUCCUGCCCGGCCCAUCCUUCCUUCCCAUCCUUCCAGCGGCUCCUAUUUGCAGGAGGAUAACGGCACCCAUCAUUCCACCAGGCCUCAGAGACAGCACGUGUGCGCAUGCACGUGAUCCCUGCUCCCCUGCAAGGGCGUAUCCUCCCCACUCCUCCAGAGAGAAAAAUGAGACCAGGGAGACGGACAGGGAGGACCCAGUCUUCCAGACACCCGUGCCUGGAUUCUAGACCUUCUCUGCAACUCCCUUCACCAGCCCCUGGUCUAGGCAGGCACUGGUCCUUUGAGCAGCUCCCAUCCUCAGCCGCUCGCUCCCCCCACCGACGCUCCGUGACUGAGCACCCACCUUCUAGGCACUGAGGGUGCAGCGCCAAUGAGACAAGCAGCGGCAUCCUCUCACGAAGGCUACCUUCCACGCAGACACAGAUAAGAGGAUCAAAAUGGACAAAAGCGGUCCACGGUCACCUCCGUGAGUCCACACAUGCCGACAGGUGCUUCCCCAUCACAGCAGGGAGCAGAGAUGGGCUCGAACUUCCCCCUCACUUCUCUGACCUCAAGACCUGCAGAGCCCCGUGGUGUGGAGCAGGUCCAGUCCCGAGAAGCCCCAGCCCAAAACGCAGGCAUGAGGCACGUACAGGAUGCUCCUGGCUAAGGAAAGCAUCCCUCAGCCAACCACCACCAGCGUCGCCCGCAUCCCUGCCAAGAAAGGCGCCCCAUGCCCUCCCCACUCGCAGGUGUGUCCUGCCGGGGCGAAGACCUGCCCACCCACUUUGUCAAACUGUUGAUGUCCACAAUGAACAACGUCCCAAACCACAGACAGGAUCAUGUUUCUCUGAGACAUGACUUCUAGCACCAGCUGCCCACAGCGACUCCUGGGCCUGCCCCAAGCUCCCAACACCCCCUCCAUCAUAGAAACUUCCUGGGACCACGUUCGCCCCACCU
rnacentral:lncRNA from 1 species